GGAGUCUUCCUAACCUAGCCGCCAGAGCUCGAUCGUCCCCAACUUCCCGUCUCCUCCCUCUUGCUCGAGCGAUCAGGGUGUUCAGGCCGUCAGGGGAAUCUCCUCCCUCUUUCUUUACGGGAAGGGAGCAGGAGGCGGGAAGCGAGCUGGGGGACGGCGCCGGCGCUGACGGCCGCGGAAUCGGUGAGGACCGACGGAGCGCCGCCAGGAGGCGGGCGAGGCGGGAUUGCGGGAAGGGAGCGACGCCGGUGGCAGGCGGCCGCGGAAUCGAGCGGCGGGCCAGGAGGCGGGCGAGGCCGGAAGGGAGCGGCGCCGGCGGCGGGCGGCCACGGAAUCGCCCGACGGCGUGCGGCCAGAAGCCUCCAAUUUUGGAACGGGAACUGAACCGGGCGGGUCGGGCCAAACCGCCCGGUUCACCGGUUUUCGACAAAACCGCCCGGUUCACACGGUUUUCCCCGGUCUGGUGUCCCGUCCGGUCUAGUGCGCUUAACAGACCGCAUUAGGCUUCGGUUCCGGUUUUUUCCGGUCGGACCGCCGGUUCUCGGUUUUCAAAACUAGGCCCGGGCCGGUCUGUUGGCCAGCUGUAUGUAGGGCUGGGUGCAUUGUGACGGGCUGGCUAACUGGGCCUCGCCUUAGAGUUAGGAAAUGGGAUUGAUGGACCUGGUAAUGUUCUAAAAAAAAGGUCAUUUCAGUUUUGUCCUUUACUGGACCGGGGACCAAAGCUAGCCAGUUAACAGGGAGAUGAACUACCCCUAAAAACACAAGGAGAUGAAAUGCCCUCCACUAAUUGUGGGCUAUCGACUGGUGCUCUGCUGAGGUGGAGUUCAUGUCACGGUAGCAAAUGGUAGUGAAAUCAAUGAAGCGGAUUUUGGUGUCCUGGGCUAGUGUAAUACUCGAUAUCUUUAUAUUCUUAUAAAAGAACCAAUCGGUGGUAAUGGUCCGGCACCUCUUCUAUUGUAAAAAACCCUUUCUCACCUUCUGUUGUCA
rnacentral:lncRNA from 1 species